rnacentral:lncRNA from 1 species
AUGGAGACCAGACAUCACGUGAAAUGGACACGUUCAAAGGCAGGUCCUGUCUCGGGGGCAGUAGACAUCAGAGGACUACAGAAGGGUCUUCCUCCUCUCAAGCCAGGUGGUCCAUGGGAGAUGAUGAGCAGUACCCUUCUGUCACCAGAAGAUCCCGCAGGAAGCUGCAAGGCUGAAGCAUUUUUGCUUUCCCCUUUGCACUGGAGCCCCUCUAGGGCAUGUCUUAAAUGUCAUUCAGAAAUUAAGAGCACCAGACCCGCUGGGUGAAAAGGAAGAAUAUUGAAGAAAGAAAAAAAUAAUGUGAAAAAAAGUCAACCCUUCUUAGAAACACAAAAAGUAAUUUGCCACUUAAUUGUUAUCCU